rnacentral:rRNA from 1 species
CCAAUAGCGUAUAUUAAAGUUGUUGCAGUUAAAAAGCUCGUAGUUGAACUUCGGGGUUUACUCAUUGGUCAGGCUUAAUUGUCUGUACUGGUGAGAUGAAUCUCUACCUUCUGAGGAACUUUCAUGCCAUUUAUUUGGUGUGAUGGGAAAUCAGGACUGUUACUUUGAAAAAAUUAGAGUGUUUAAAGCAGGCUAACGUCUGAAUACAUUAGCAUGGAAUAAUGAAAUAGGACGGACUGAUUCUAUUUCGUUGGUUUCUAGGAUCACCGUAAUGAUUAAUAGGGAUAGUUGGGGGCAUUAGUAUUCAAUUGUCAGAGGUGAAAUUCUUGGAUUUAUUGAAGACUAACUACUGCGAAAGCAUUUGCCAAGGAUGUUUUCAUUAAUCAAGAACGAAAGUUAGGGGAUCGAAGACGAUCAGAUACCGUCGUAGUCUUAACCAUAAACUAUGCCGACUAGGGAUCGGAUGAUGUUAAUUUUAUAAUGACUCAUUCGGCGCCUUACG